rnacentral:rRNA from 1 species
UAUAGCGAUAGGAGGGGCACCAGGAGAACUGAAACAUCUAAGUAUCCUGAGGAAAAUAAAUCGUAAGAGAUUCCGUUAGUAGCGGCGAGCGAACGCGGAACAGCCUAAACCCGAACAAAUUUCGCAAGAAAUUUGCGCGGGGGUUGUGGGGCGGGAGAUAUGGGAGUAUUUCAAGUAGGAGAACAUCUCGGAAUAGGUGGCCAAAGAGAGUGAAAGCCUCGUAUCCGAAAUUUGACAUACCUCUAUCCCGUUCCCAAGUACCGUGGGACACGAAGGUACUGCGGGAAGCUGGGGGAACCAUCCUCCAAGGCUAAAUACAUGAGUGCACCGAUAGUGAACGAGUACCGUGAGGGAAAGGUGAAAAGCACCCCGGAAGGGGAAUGAAAUAGUACCUGAAAUUGUCAGCUAACAAACAGAUAGAGCUUGUCCUUCGGACAAGAAACCUCAACCAAAUCACAAUGACCAAAUCACAAUGACCAACGUGGAAAGAAGAUUUUUAUACAAACUCUUCACACCUUGUUGGAUAUUGGGAUUUGUGAAUUGGGAUUUGAUAUUGGGAUUUCUCAUCCGAAGGAUGAGUAAUAUCGUGCCUAUUGAAGAAUGAACCGGUGAGUUCUUCUGUGCUGCGUGCUUAACCCCGCUAAGCGGGGGGAGGCAAAGUGAAAGCGAGGGUGAAUAGCCCGUUUGUAGCACGGAUGAGACCCGAAACCGGGUGAGCUAACCAUGGGCAGGGUGAAGGUCGAAGAAAUUCGACUGGAGGCCCGAACCCGUCAGAGUUUCAAAUCUGUGGGACGACCUGUGGUUAGGGGUAAUAUGCCUAUCGAACCCGGAGAUAGCUGGUUCUCCCCGAAAUAUAUUUUGGUAUAGCGGUCGAUCAAGUGAUGGAGUGGUAGAGCACUGAAUGAUAACGGUUUCGCAAGGAACCGUCUUCAAUCAAACUCCGAAUACUCACAUCGUUAUUCGGCCAGUCAGACAUGUGGGGCUAAGCUCAUGUGUCGAAAGGGAAACAGCCCUGACUCACAUCUAAGGCCUCUAAUUCUUUGCUCAGUGGUUAAGGAAGUCAUGGUUUACAGACACCCAGGAGGUUGGCUUAGAAGCAGCCAUCCUUUAAAGAAAGCGUAACAGCUCACUGGAUGAAAGCCGUGGCGCCGAAAAUGAACGAGGCUUAAGCAAAGAGCCGAAGAUUGAGAUGCCACCGCAAGGUGGCGUGGUAGGGGAGCGUUCUGUUUGCAGUGAAGGUGCCGCUGUAAGGCGGGCUGGAGC